GAUGAACGCUGGCGGCGUGCCUAAUACAUGCAAGUCGAACGAGGUGCUUUUGUAGCAAUACGAAGGUAUCCUAGUGGCGAACGGGUGAGUAACACGUUGGUGACCUGCCCCAAAGUGUGGGAUAACAGUCCGAAAGGAUUGCUAAUACCGCAUGUGGUCACGGGUUUUAGAAACCUGUGUCUAAAGCAGCAAUGCGCUUUGGGAGGGGCCUGCGUCCCAUCAGCUAGUUGGUAGGGUAACGGCCUACCAAGGCUACGACGGGUAGGGGACCUGAGAGGGUGGCCCCCCACAAUGGAACUGAAACACGGUCCAUACACCUACGGGUGGCAGCAGUAGGGAAUAUUGCUCAAUGGGCGAAAGCCUGAAGCAGCAACGCCGCGUGAGCGAAGAAGGCCUUCGGGUCGUAAAGCACUUUUCUGAGAGAUGAGAAAGGACAGUAUCUCAGGAAUAAGUCUCGGCUAACUACGUGCCAGCCGCCGCGGUAAGAC
rnacentral:rRNA from 1 species